rnacentral:rRNA from 1 species
UACGUAGGGGGCAAGCGUUGUCCGGAAUCAUUGGGCGUAAAGAGCGUGUAGGCGGCCCGAUAAGUCCGCUGUGAAAGUCCAGGGCUCAACCCUGGAAUGCCGGUGGAUACUGUCGGGCUCGAAUCCGGAAGAGGUGAGUGGAAUUCCUGGGUGUAGCGGUGAAAUGCGCAGAUAUCAGGAGGAACACCAAUGGCGAAGGCAGCUCACUGGGACGGUAUUGACGCUGAGACGCGAAAGCGUGGGGAGCGAACAGGAUAGAAACC